GCAGAUGUGACGUAAUUGGUAGACGUAUUAGACUUAGAAUCUAAUGAAAAACUUCGUGAGAGUUCAAGUCUCUCCAUCUGCA
rnacentral:tRNA from 1 species